CGAGGAUUGUAAAGGUGAAGGAGCAGGUGGUUGCUGGUACUUUGCACCAUCUGACUCUGGAGGUGAUUGAGGCAUGUAAGAAGAAAAUUUAUGAAGCCAAGGUGUGGGUGAAGCCAUGGUUGAACUUCAAGGAGCUGCAGGAAUUCAAGCCAGUUGGAGAUGCCCCCACGUUCACUUCGUCAGAUCUCGGUGCCAGGCAAGGAUGGAGAGCAAUUCCAACACAUGAUCCUAUUGUCCAAGAUGAAGCAAAUCAUGCUGUGAAGACUAUCCAGCAGAGGUCAAACUUGCUAGUCCCUUACAAACUGCUAGAGGUCCUUCAUGCAAAGACAGAGGUAAUUGAAGAAGUGGCAAAGAUUGAUUUGCUUCUCAAAGUCAAGAGGAGAAAUAAGGAAGAAAAUUUUAAGGUUAAAGUACAUAAGAAUGUUGAAGGUAUCUUUCAUUUGAAUUUGAUGGAGCAAGAUCACUCAUGAGCCAUGACUCUAGGCACUACCCUAACAUGUUAA